UACGUAGGGUGCAAGCGUUAUCCGGAAUUAUUGGGCGUAAAGAGCUCGUAGGCGGUUUGUCGCGUCUGCUGUGAAAACUGGAGGCUCAACCUCCAGCCUGCAGUGGGUACGGGCAAACUAGAGUGCGGUAGGGGAGAUUGGAAUUCCUGGUGUAGCGGUGAAAUGCGCAGAUAUCAGGAGGAACACCGGUGGCGAAGGCGGGUCUCUGGGCCGUAACUGACGCUGAGGAGCGAAAGCGUGGGGAGCGAACAGG
rnacentral:rRNA from 1 species